ACGUUUCUGUGAUUUUGAUGUACUGAACAAUUAUAAUCUUGUCAGAUUUUCUUUGGGAAAGAUUAUUAUUAUUUGGACGCUUGAAAAAGUAAACGUUUGUCUGCCGAAGACAAUCACGUGGUUUAAGGCCAUGUGCUUCCCUAGUAUCAACAGUGCCGAGGACGGCGCCAGUGAAAGGCAGGCGGUUUGCCGAUUAUGCACAAGUUGAAGAAAGGAGCUGCUGUGGGAUGGUAAAAAAAGUUCCAGGAGCAACAAAGAGUCUUGAUUUUUAUAGGGGUGCAGAUUUUAAAGUAAGAAAACUGUGUUGUAAAGAAAGAAGAAGAUUUUCCAUCAAAUAAUGGUGGAUGACAAAGUUCUUCCUAUGAAUGAUGUCAUAACCCACUUUGCAAAAAAAAGUUUGUUGGAGAGAAAAGGAUCUGAAGAGGGAGAAAGAAUUGAUUAUAUUCAGAUGGAUUUAUAGACUGUUAGACAUUUUGCUAUCACUUAAUUCUGUACUAUUAGUUCCGCAACACUGAGCCUAUAAGCUUUUGACUUGAUGGUUUAUCUAGUUUGAGAGAGCAUAGUCCAUUUUUUAGGCAUUUCAAGAUUAACAAUGCAGAAUAUGUACACAUGUAAUGGCAGGUAAAAAUUCCACACAAACAGGACACUGAUAAGACUGGAAUUUAGAGAUAUUUCAUUUCUCUCUUGUGUGAAUUAAAAAAAAAUUAAUGCCAGAAACAAUAUAAUAAAUUCAUAACAUAG